rnacentral:tRNA from 2 species
CCUCUCUUAGCUCAGUUGGGAGAGCAGUGGACUGUAGUUCCAAGGGUCAGGUGUUCGAUUCACCUAGAGAGGA